UUGACCUCGGAUCAGGUAGGAAUACCCGCUGAACUUAAGCAUACUAGA
rnacentral:rRNA from 1 species